UUCUUUUAUUAAUUUCAACUUUUUUCUAUAUAUAUUUCUGGAUUUUAAGAUAUAGAUAACUAGUCUAGGCUUUUAUUUCUCCAUCGUUGCUUAUUUGUUCUUGUGGUGAUCUUUUUUCAAAUGAAAAGCACAAAAUCAGUAGAGAUAUUUACCAAAAUAAUAAGGAUUUUUCCAAAAAAAAUAAACAAGUAAGAAUCUGUUAAUCUUCAAUUAAGCAAAAGAAGACAAAUAAUCAACCUAAGAAAAAAAUGAACAAAGCAGACAUGGAUAGUUUUCCUUAACUUGUAAAUGAUACAUUUUCAUACUAAACCUAAAUGCAAUUUGACAGCCCGCCUCAGUACUUGUUAGGUUAUUUCAGGGUCUUACCAGCAUUUGAACGACAAGACAAAUGUCCUCUAAUAAAUGCAACAAUUGAAGAAAAUAAUGCUUUUAUAUAUGGUUGUAACUAAUCUCUCCAUAACUUGUGUAGGAGUCUUCCGUUGUUAGUAGACGAGAAAGACGAGCGAGGGAGAAACAGAUAGUCUCCAUGGCUUCACCAAGUAUGUUGUUGAUGAUGAUUAUAUUUUCACGACGGAAAAGAUGGAAAAGCUCCUUCUAGUGUUGAUAGUUUUAUAUGAAUAAAUUUUCAGGUGGAAAGCUCUAAUCUUAAAAAUUGAAUUACCAUCUUGUCCCUCUACUAAAUUAAGAAUUUAAUUAAAUAAUAGUAUUUUUAUUAUCUAAAGAUUGAAUUAUAUAAAAUAAUAAAAAAAAUACAUCCAUAAAUACAUCUUCCUCAUAUUAAAAAAAUGUAAUUGACCUAAAUUUAGAAUGAACAAUUGUCAUCCAAAAAUAGAAAGGAGAAACACCCUAGAUAGGAACGCUUUCUCUCGUAAGGAAGUUUUCAAACAAAGUAAAAAUUCAAAGUUCCUCUUUCUCCUAUAAAGAUCGUGAUUUUUUGAAUGAACAAGAAUGAAUCACAGUUUGGUCCUAAAGGAGGUAACAAAAAAACCCGACUUAACAAAAUAUAAUUGAAUUGGUUGGAAAAUAAAUAAUGAAUAUUUAAUACUAAUUUUAUAAAAACUAAUAUGUUCAUGUGUAAUUUUACCAUUCCCUUGUAUUGCUAGCACAUAACCUUCUCUUCCGUGAACUUCAUCAAAAUAAUAGAGUAGUGUCAACAUGAGCAAAUAAUUUGCUACACACUCGAUGUAAUUAAAUUAUUAUAAAACAUCGUUAUGUUUCUCGUAACUAAACUGAAUUAAUAUAUGAUUCAGCUUACUUAAGAGAAAAAAUAAUAUAUACUAAUACUAAUUUAAUUACAUGUCAAGUGUGUGGCAAAAUAUGUCUUUAUGUAGUACAACACAAUACUUUAUCAUUUUGAUCAAGUUUACGGAAGACAAUGUUAUAUGUUAACAAUACAACGAAAUGUUUUAAAAUCAUGAAUGAAUAUGUUAGUUUAUAUAGUAUUAUUAUUUGAUAUUUAUUAUUUAUUCGCUGACAAAUUUAAAUUUGCGUUAAGUCAACUUUAUUUUGUUACCCCUUUAGGACCUUCUAUAAUUCAUUUUAGUUCAAUCAGAAAAUCACCAUAUUAAUAAGAGGACCUUUGAAUUUAUAGUUUGUUUAAGAAAUUUAUUUCAAGGUAAAGCGCUUCUAUAGAGGUGUUUCUCCCUUCUAAUUUUUGAUGGCAGUUCAUUAUAAAUUAAGGCAAAUCAACUUUUUUAUAUAUAUGAGGAAGACGAACUUUGAUACAUUAGUUUAAGUAAAACUUCCUUAACAGGAUAACGAUCUAACCAAAGUGAAAUAAAAAGUUAUGUAGGAGUUGUUCGCUGGUAGCAUAGUUAUGAUGCUCAGCUACCCCCAAGAUGCGUACCCGACUAAAGAUCACAAGUGAUCCCAAGCUAACUUUGUUGGCAUACAUCAACAUACUAUGAUAAUUUAAAUGAAAUAAUACUGAGCGUAAGCUUUAUGAAAAAUGAAAUUGAUUGGGAAUACCUAUUCUAAAACUGAAUAUAUAAGAAAACUAAGAGUUUUAACACAACUUAAAGUCAAGCUCAAAUGAAAUAAAGCUAAAUCUAGUUAUGUCUGAAAUAAGCCUAACUGACUAGAAAUGCUAGGACAUGCCCCAGCUAGAUUGAAACUAAAAAUUAAAAACGAAGGGAAAUAAUCAUGUCACGUGUCCUCGAAGGAUGAGGACUCACCACUGUAACUGUUGAACUGAAGAUCGGAAACCGUUCUAAACGUGAUCUGGAAGCUUAAAACGUGAACCUACAUCACUAGAAGAUGUAGCGCAGAGUAUGUGUUAAUACUUGAAACGUCAAGCACAUCGAUAUGUGGUGUUCACUUGUCCACAAGGCAUGCCAUUCGUUGAGUGAGUAUUUAUGGCAAA